rnacentral:rRNA from 1 species
ACGAACGCUGGCGGCGUGCUUAACACAUGCAAGUCGAACGGAAAGGCCCUGCUUGCAGGGUACUCGAGUGGCGAACGGGUGAGUAACACGUGGGUGAUCUGCCCUGCACUUCGGGAUAAGCCUGGGAAACUGGGUCUAAUACCGGAUAGGAGCCAUUUUUAGUGUGAUGGUUGGAAAGUUUUUUCGGUGUAGGAUGAGCUCGCGGCCUAUCAGCUUGUUGGUGGGGUAAUGGCCUACCAAGGCGGCGACGGGUAGCCGGCCUGAGAGGGUGGACGGCCACAUUGGGACUGAGAUACGGCCCAGACUCCUACGGGAGGCAGCAGUGGGGAAUAUUGCACAAUGGGCGCAAGCCUGAUGCAGCGACGCCGCGUGGGGGAUGACGGCCUUCGGGUUGUAAACUCCUUUCGCUAGGGACGAAGCUUUUUGUGACGGUACCUAGAUAAGAAGCACCGGCUAACUACGUA